rnacentral:rRNA from 1 species
AAUUUUAUUUAAGGUYUGACCUGCCCUAUGAGAAAUUAAAUGGCCGCGGUAUUUUAACCGUGCAAAGGUAGCAUAGUCACUUGUCUUUUAAUUGGAGGCUUGAAUGAAGGGUUGGACGAGAUAUAAACUUUCUUUAUUAUAAUYAGUUGAAUUUGACUUUUGAGUCAAAAGGCUUAAAUAUAUUUAUAGGACGAGAAGACCCUAUAGAAUUUUAUAUUUUUAUUUUAAUAAUUUAUUUGUUUAURRUUAAAUUUUUUUUAUAAAAAUAUUUUGUUGGGGCGAUGGGAAGAUUUUUUUAACUCU